UUUCUUUAUAUUCAAAUGUCUCUCUCUCUCCCCCCCCUCUCUCUCUCUCUCUCUCUCCUCAGAGCUCUAUACAUCACCGUCCAUAACGAGGCCUCAUCCACUAACGAGCAAUCAGAGAAUAUUAGACCAAUUAGAGGCCUAAUUGAAUUAGAGAGGAGGGAGAGAGAAAGGAGGGAAGGAAACAGGAGAGGAUAGGAGAGGAAAGGCGAGGCAAAGACAAAAGGAAAGCAGAGGAGGAAAGGAUACACAAGCGUAGGAAAGGAGAGGGAAAAGGACGAAAGGAGGAAUAACAGGAGAAAAAGAAGACGAGGAAAGGAAAAACAGGAAGGAAGGGAAGGAGAGGAAACAAGGGAGGGAGAAUAGAUAAGACGUGAAAGAGAAAAGGAACAAGAUAGGCAAAGGUACCAAAAGGAGGAAAGAAUAAGAGGGAGGUGAUGAGAUAAGAGAAGACGGAAAGAAAGGAGGAGAGUAGCCAAGGUGAGGGGAAGAAAGAUAAGGAGGAUAGAGGGAGUCCAGCAAGUGAGGAGAGGAAAGGAAGCAAGGAGAGGAGAGGAAGACUGAGAAAAGGGAAGGAGGAGAAAUUGGAAAAACAGGAAAGGAAGGAAGGACAGUAGGGAAGAUGAGAAGGAAGGGGACACAAGGGAAGGAAAAAAGGAGAUGAGGAGAGGAGAGGAGAGGAGCAUAAAUAGACAUGUUCAUUGACCUCCACACUGACUUUUUUUUUUGAUUGACAGCUGGGUGUGAGAGGUGCAUUAUGGUCCGUUGUCUGUGCAGUGUGUGUCCAUCAUGAUGCAUUUGCAUGUUAAGCCACGCCCCCUUUAAUCAACCUCUUCCUCCCCCUCCUUUUCUCUUCAAACUCUUCGUUCUGUUUUUAACUUUUUCUCUCUCUUCUGUUUUUUUUUCUCUCCCUAAUCUCUCUCCCCCCCCCCCCCCCCCCCGCAGCGAGCCCACACGCCCCCCCCUCCAGCCUCCACUUCUCCUCCUCCCCCAUCUUGCAGCAGCCCGGCUCCUACUUCUCCCACCCGGCCAUCAGGUAUCACCCACAGGAGACGCUCAAGGAGUUCGUCCAGCUGGUCUGUCCUGACUCCGCCCAGCAGGCCGGACAGGUGGGCUUCCUCAAUCCUAAUGGUAGCUCCCAGGGGAAGGUCCACAACCCUUUCCUGCCGACGCCCAUGCUGCCUCCCCCUCCGCCUCCCCCGAUGGCACGUCCCGUCCCACUGCCCGUCGACGCAAAGCCGCCCUCCACCUCCUCCACCGAGGGGGGAGGAAACUCACCCACCUCGCCCACCUACUCCACUCCCACUUCAUCCCCAGCCCAGAGAUUCGUCAGCGUGGGACCCAGAGACCCCGGCUUUAACAUCCCUCAGCAACCGCAGUGGUACCUGGGAUAAGGACUCCAGAGGCCCCUCCCCCCUCCACCCACCUGUACGACAGAUCGCUGCAGCCUCCUCCUUUGACCUUUGAUGCCAGCUGUGAUGGAGAGUCUUUACCUGCCCCGCCCCCCUUCAAGCCCUCCUCCUCCUCCUCCUCCUCUUCCUUUUCCCUCCUUCUGCGCCUGACUCCGCCCCCACCAGCGCCAUACACAGACUCGGCAGCAUCAGCAUGGCUACAGCUGGAUCAAACGCCACUCCGACCCCCGGUGUUAAAACACCCACUCUGUAAACUGUACGUCAUAGACUCCCCCGUUGACAUAUGGUGCAUAUGUCCAUGACCGUAUAUAGUGCCAGACCCCACCCCCAAACAUCUCAUGAAGUGGGGAUUGAACCUUCAAUUUUUUUGGACGCCGCAAGACUGAAUCACAGAGCUUCCCCUCUGGAGAAACUACACACUCACUCUCCCAUCAUCCUUUGCAGUGUUGGCAUCAAGUGGACUUGAUGUGGUACAAUACCCCCCCAUCCCGCUCGUCCCGCCAACCAACCCCCCCCCCCCCCCCAUCCAGGUGGAUCUCGAUGGCGUUGGGUUGGUGAUUGGCAGGGAAGGAUUGGAUGCACCUGGCUCAGAUACCACCAGCUAAGCCCCCUGUUCCCCCCCACAUGCCCUCACACACCUCCACGGAUGGACUCCACCUGACCCCGCCCCCCCUUUGCGGGAGGGCGGCACGUCAGCAAGGGAGGAAGUGGACGCAGCUCUUUCCAAGGACAUGGACCAGUGCUUAAUGGGAAGAGCUGACCUGAUGGGGAGGUGGUGCCCCGAUGCUUCCACCAUUAUAGGAGGGGUGGGGGUCGGGUCGGGUCGGGGUUACAAAGCGAGGGGUUUGUUGAUGUGUUACUGUUGGAUCCAAGCUGGUUUAACUGGGAGGCUUCAUGGCUCAUUGAUUUUUUUCCUUCUUAGCAGUCAUUUCAGCUGGUCCCCUCCUCUUCCUCCUCCCCACAUCCACCAGUCUGGGUGAAGCUACAGCAUGCUGAGGGCGGGCAGAAAGCGCUGGCGUCUGAACGCAGCGGGCGG